rnacentral:rRNA from 1 species
CCUACGGGUGGCAGCAGUGAGGAAUAUUGGUCAAUGGGCUUAUGCCUGAACCAGCCAAGUCGCGUGAGGGAAGACUGCCCUAUGGGUUGUAAACCUCUUUUGUCAGGGAGCAACGCCGGCUACGUGUAGCCGGACUGAGAGUACCUGAAGAAAAAGCAUCGGCUAACUCCGUGCCAGCAGCCGCGGUAAUACGGGGGAUGCGAGCGUUAUCCGGAUUUAUUGGGUUUAAAGGGUGCGUAGGCGGAAUGCCAAGUCAGCGGUAAAAUCGCGGGGCUCAACCUCGCUCCGCCGUUGAAACUGGCGUUCUGGAGUGGGCGAGAAGUAGGCGGAAUGCGUGGUGUGGCGGUGAAAUGCAUAGAUAUCACGCAGAACUCCGAUUGCGAAGGCAGCAUACCGGCGCCCAACUGACGCUGAAGCACGAAAGCGUGGGUAGCGAACAGGAUUAGAUACCCUAGUAGUC